rnacentral:hammerhead_ribozyme from 1 species
AUCCAUCUGACGAGUCCCAAAUAGGACGAAACGCUCAUCAGACUGAAU